AACUCAAGAACGCUUGGGCCUAGGAUCAUGAAACUUCAUAGGUACAUUGAUCAUGAAUCGCAGAUGACCCCUAUUGAUUUUGAGGUCACUAGGUCAAAGGUCAAGGUCACAGUGACCUGAAAUAGUAAAAUGGUUUCCGGAUGAUAACUCAAGAACGCUUAGGCCUAGGAUCAUGAAACUUGAUAGGAAGAUUGAUCAUGACUCGCAGAUGACCCCUAUUGAUUUUCAGGUCACUAGGUCAAAGGUCAAGGUCACAGUGACCCGAAAUAGUAAAAAGGUUUCCGGAUGAUAACUCAAGAACGCUUAGGCCUAGGAUCAUGAAACUUGAUAGGUAGAUUGAUCAGGACUCGCAGAUGACCCCUAUUGAUUUUGAGGUCACUAGGUCAAAGGUCAAGGUCACAGUGACCCGAAAUAGUAAAAUGGUUUCCGAAUGAUAACUCAAGAACGCUUAGGCCUAGGAUCAUGAAACUUGAUAGGUAGAUUGAUCAUGACUCGCAGAUGACCCCUAUUGAUUUUCAGGUCACUAGGUCAAAGGUCAAGGUCACGGUGACCCGAAAUAGUAAAAUGGUGUCCGGAUGAUAACUCAAGAAUGCUUAUGGCUAGGAUCAUGAAACUUCAUAGGUACAUUGAUCAUGACUGGCAGAUGACUCCUAUUGAUUUUCAGGUCACUAGGUCAAAGGUCAAGGUCACAGUGACAAAUACAUAUUCACACAAUGGCUCUCACUACAACGGAGAGCCCAUAUGGGGGGCAUGCAUGUUUUACAAACAGCCCUUGUUAACCAGGUUUUCCGAAGGAAAAAACUGGUUAUUAGAUUGGCGAAUGCGGGCGGGCUGGCGGGCUGGCUGGCUGGCGGGCUGGCUGGCUGGCUGGCGGGCUGGCGGGCUGGCGGAAUAAGCUUGUCCGGGCCAUAACUAUGUCGUUCAUUGUCAGAUUUUAAAAUCAUUUGGCACAUUUGUUCACCAUCAUUGGACGGUGUGUCGCGCGAAAUAAUUACGUCGAUAUCUCCAAGGUCAAGGUCACACUUUGAGUUCAAAGGUCAAAAAUGGCCAUAAAUGAGCUUGUCCGAGCCAUAACUAUGUCGUUCAUCGUCAGAUUUUAAAAUCAUUUGGCACAUUUGUUCACCAUCAUUGGACGGUGUGUCGCGCGAAAUAAUUACGUCGAUAUCUCCAAGGUCAAGGUCACACUUUGA